UUGUGUUUAUGAGCCAUGAAUAAGGUGCUUCUUGCCCUAUGCCAGCCUAAAAAUACUAUCUGAAUAGUCAUCAUAGCAGAAAUGGGAGCAAGCAAGGGUGAUGUGAUGGAGCUGCAUUUGCACCUGCACCUCCGAAUGAAGGACGACUCGUGCAUGGUGACAUGGAUAUGAUGGUGUUUUUGUUGCUUCCUUCCUUUAUAGGUGCAGCGGCAGAUGCAGCUCCAUCACUACCAUUCCGUGCAUGGUCACGAGCUGUUCUUCCUUUUCAUCUAUUCUUUUGUUGUUACCACAGAAAAGUCUAAUUUUUCUAUAUGCGAGUAGCUGCAGCGAUCCUUACCAAUUUCGUGAUGCGCGAUUAUUGUGUGCAGAUUCUCCUCCUAACUUCCUAGGUGCUGUGGCAGAUGCAGCUAUGCCACGGCCGGCAGUUCCACAUGGGAGAGUCAAGUGGAACGACCUCAAUUCGUGAAACGGAAUAGAGUUAAAACUUAAAAGAUGAGUUUGAUUACUCGAUGGAUCACGUAUAUAUCAGCUUCUCUCUGUUGGGGUCUGAUGCUGUGCUCAGAUCCUUCACAACAAAAUGAUUGCACGGAAGAAACAACUCGACCGUGUGACUGGUCGUCGCCAAAGUGACCAAAUGCAACUCGAGUGGAGCAAACUGACAUGUUUUCAUCACCCCAUUUUUAGCAACUUUACCAGUAUCAGUGACCAGUUCUUAACAACUCUGUAAUUUGUUGAUCUUGUUGUGAAAUCACACCCGCGUAACACAACACAAUAGAAUUAGAAAAAAGCCACGCAUUCCCUCUGGCUUUGUUAUUUUAGCUGCGUUUGUCCGAUAGCAAUGACUCACUCCGGUCUUUGCCUCGGUGAUUGGUCUCACUUGGUGGUCCCAACUCGGCUUCUUGCCGAUAUUAACAAUGUUUAGGCUUUUGGUGCCGCGCUCCUUA